rnacentral:rRNA from 1 species
UACAGAGGGGGCAAGCGUUAUUCGGAAUUACUGGGCGUAAAGGGCUCGUAGGCGGCCAACUAAGUCGGACGUGAAAUCCCUCAGCUUAACUGGGGAACUGCGUCCGAUACUGGAUGGCUUGGAUUCGGGAGAGGAAUGCGGAAUUCCAGGUGUAGCGGUGAAAUGCGUAGAUAUCUGGAGGAACACCGGUGGCGAAGGCGGCAUUCUGGACCGACAUUGACGCUGAGGAGCGAAAGCCAGGGGAGCAAACGG